CCCUUAGAUGUUCUGGACCGCACGCGCGCUACACUGAUGCAUUCAACGAGCCUAUCCUUGACCGACAGGUCCGGGUAAUCUUUGAAUCUGCAUCGUGACGGGGAUAGAUUAUUGCAAUUAUUAAUCUUCAACGAGGAAUGCCUAGUAGGCGCAAGUCAUCAGCUUGCGUCGAUUACGUCCCUGCCCUUUGUACACACCGCCCGUCGCUCCUACCGAUUGGGUGUGCUGGUGAAAUGUUCGGAUCGGCCGUUUGUCGCGGUUUCCGCGGCUCGUGGCUGAGAAGUUCAUUAAACCCUCCCACCUAGAGGAAGGAGAAGUCGUAACA
rnacentral:rRNA from 1 species